UAGGGUAAAUGCCUACCAAGCCGAUGAUCAAAAGCCAUGUUUGAUAGAACAGAUGGCCACAUUGGGUAUGAAAAGCCCCAAGUAGAAUUUUAUCUACCAGCAGUCAAGAAUAUUAGUCAAUGCUCGCAAGAGUGAACUAGCUAACUGAAAUAACAAGAUCCACUACGUGUGGUGAAUGUUAUAACGUAAGGGAAAAAAAUGAUAUUACCUUACUAUUAGUGUUGUCCAAAACUGGUGCCAGAAGACUCGGUAAGGCCAGAGACGCAAACGUUAGUCGUCCUAAUCAGGCGUAAAGGGUAUGUAGGCUGCUUUAAAAGUUUUAUAUUUAAUAGCUAAGUUUAAAUAUUUAUUUAAAUAUAUAAAACAAUAAAUAUAAAUGAAUUAAAGCUAGGAUCAAAUUGAGGAUAAGUCAAAUAAUACUUAGUGUAGGGUUUAAAUCUGGUAAUACUAAGGGGAGUACUAACGGUGAAAGCUUUUUAUCUAGAAAUGAUUGACGCUGAGAAACGAAGGUGAGAAUAGGAAAUAGGAUUAGAUACCCAGAUACCUCUCACAGUCAACGAUGAAUGGUGGUUGUUAGUUUAUUUUUUUAACUGAUAACGAUGUUAACACGAUAACCAUUCCGCCUUGCGAGUACGGUUGCAAAACUGAAACCAAAAAAAUUAGUCGGUCUCGAAGCAAACGAAGUGAAGCAUGUUAUUUAAUACGAUAAUACGCGUAAAAUCUUACCAGUCCUUGUAUAUCCAAUUUUUCUUAUGUAAAAAUAAUAAAGAUUGAGUAAUUUAUUUUUGUCCUUCUUUGUAGAGGGAAGAGGAAUAAAUUCGUUUA
rnacentral:rRNA from 1 species